UCACUGGUUAAGAUUAAUCAUUGAGUUCGCUAUCCCGCCUUGACUGUAACAAGUGAGAGACAUUUGGAAGAGGCUCGUCGCUUAGCGUCAUUACAGAAGAGACGAGAACUUUGAAUGGUGGGGAUUUACUUGGGCUCAGGUGGCCGUCGAAAAAAUUAUCUAUUAGCUGAUUAUUCAGUAACUUCUUCUCCAGCAAUCGCUGACGCUAGAACCCCAAAAGUUGCAUCAAUGAGCAGAGAAACGAUUCUAAUGGAAGCUCAAAAUCUUAUGGCUCUUUCCAAUGACGAAACACCAUUGAAAGGAGGUCUUAACACUCCGUUACAUGAGAUUGAGACUCCUCUUGGUGGACCGAAAACAUCAGUUUCGGCUACACCGAACACAAACAUUGGAGAAGUGUAAUCAAUUAUUAAUUGUCAGACUGGAGAAAGAUUAAUCUAAAUCAAUGGCUGAUUAAUUACUCAUUUUUGAUUGAAAUAUGUUCUGAUUAUACAAGUUCCUAAUCCUAUACUCGUGGCAACAAUUUACUUUUGCUCAUCCACUAAUUUCUAGCGUUUUUCUCUUAGUAUAAAAGGAGAUGUAAUUUAAUUGUGAAAAUCAUUCUGACUCUUCAUUUGUUCAACAAACAAUUAACUGAUUAUUUUGCCCUUGUUCGUGUGUCUAAAUCACUCAACUCAAUCCCAACAAAUAAAAUGGACUCCAAAUCAAUCAUCGUUUAUGUCGCUCUCUUUGCUUCAGCCAUCGCAAUGGCUUUUGCUAACCCAGAGCCCGAACCUGAACCACAACCAAUCGGUCAACUACUCAGCAGCCUUCUCGGAGGAAAGUGAUAAUUACAGUUAUGAAAAAUGUUCUAUUAACGAAAAUUAAACAACCGUUCAUUGAAGUUUUCAUUGAUUAAAAUGAUCCAAGUUAAUUUAUAUUGUUCGACAUAUUAUCAAUACUAUGAUUGAUAAAUUUAAAUAAAGAAUUAGAACCAAGCAAA